UAGACGAUGGGGUUGAUAGGCCGGAAGUGGAAGCGUAGUAAUGCGUGGAGCUGACCGGUACUAAUAGGCCGAGGACUUGACCAUAU
rnacentral:rRNA from 1 species